UUACGUCCAUAUCAUGUUGAAACCCCAGUUUUCGUACGAUCACCGAAGUUAAGCAAUGUCGAGCCUGGUCAGUAACUAGAAAGGUGACUGCUUGGGAAUACCAGAUGCUGUAAGC